ACGCACACGCACACACACACACACUGCAGAGAUGUAGCGUAGCUUGCUGGGACUUCCUGGCCAGGCGUCUGUCACUUUUACAGUGGAGCGUUUGUCUAAUAUUCCCCACAAAAUGGGAAGAGACGCUGGUCAUUACCCGGACAACGACGCCGUGUGACCGUGUGGCGUAAUGCGACCCGGGAAGAGUUGCCUUCGGAAGGGAUACAUUUAUGUUUUGGGACGGUUUUAUACGGGACUAGCUAGCAGCUAGUGGUGGCUAGCGACUCUUCUGGCUGCUUCCAACGUAUUUUGUUUGCAAGGAUGCUACGAUGGAUACGACAGCAGCUGGGCUUUGACCCCCCCCAUCAAAGUGACACCAGGACAAUUUACGUUGCGAACCGCUUUCCCCAGCAUGGCCACUACAUACCUCAACGUUUUGCUGAUAACAGAAUUAUUUCAUCCAAGUAUACCAUUUGGAAUUUUGUCCCCAAGAAUUUGUUCGAACAGUUCAGAAGGAUAGCCAACUUUUAUUUUCUUAUCAUCUUCCUUGUACAGUUGAUGAUAGAUACCCCGACUUCCCCAGUUACCAGCGGUCUGCCUCUUUUCUUUGUGAUCACAGUGACUGCCAUAAAACAGGGCUAUGAGGACUGGCUUAGGCACAAGGCUGACAAUGAGGUCAACGGUGCUCCUGUGUUUGUUGUUCGAAGUGGAAGCCUGGUCCAGACAAAAUCCAAAAACAUCAGAGUGGGGGAUAUUGUCCGUGUGGCUAAAGAUGAAACUUUUCCAGUUGACCUGGUGUUGCUAUCAUCAGAGCGUUCAGAUGGUACCUGUCACAUUACCACUGCCAGCCUCGAUGGGGAGACUAAUCUCAAGACUCACUAUUCUGUGGCAGAGACAGCUGUAUGCCAGUCCGUGACCCAACUGGAGGCCUUGCAGGCUGUAGUUGAGUGUCAGCAACCAGAAGCUGACCUUUACAGGUUUGUUGGCCGAAUAACAGUGACUCAUCAUGGGGAGGAGACAGUGAGACCGCUCGGUCCAGAAAACUUGUUGCUGCGAGGGGCCAGGUUGAAAAAUACCAAAGAGAUCUUUGGUGUUGCAGUUUAUACAGGAAUGGAGUCCAAAAUGGCCCUCAACUAUAAGUGCAAGUCUCAGAAACGCUCUGCAGUAGAGAAGUCUAUGAAUACUUUCCUCAUCAUCUACUUGUGCAUCCUGCUGUUCGAAGCCAUCCUCAGCACCAUUCUGAAGUAUGCCUGGCAGGCGGAGGAUAAAUGGGACGAGCCGUUCUACAACCAAAAGACAGAACAGGAGAAAAACAGCAGCCCGAUCUUGAAAUUCAUCUCCGACUUCUUGGCAUUCCUGGUCCUGUACAAUUUUAUCAUCCCCAUCUCACUCUAUGUUACUGUGGAGAUGCAGAAGUUCCUUGGCUCCUUUUUCAUAGGCUGGGAUAUGGACCUGUACCAUGAGGAGAGUGACCAGAAAGCUCAAGUCAACACCUCAGACCUCAAUGAGGAACUUGGCCAGGUUGAGUAUGUGUUUACCGACAAGACGGGUACACUAACAGAAAAUGAAAUGCAAUUCCGGGAAUGUUCGAUUAAUGGAAACAAAUAUCGGGAAGUUAAUGGCAAACUGGUGCCAGAGGGACUGACUGAAGAUUCGCCAGAUGGCUCUACACCUAACUUGGUUGGAGAGGAAUUGUUAUUUCUCAAAGCGGUUUCACUGUGUCACACAGUUCAGAUCAGCUACGACCAGCCAGACUGCCUGUCUGGGACAGGAGACCCAUUCUCCCAUGUUAAUGGGUUUUCGUCUAAUGAAAUGGAAUACUAUGCUUCUUCGCCAGAUGAAAAAGCGUUAGUUGAGGCAAUGAAGAGAAUUGGAGUGGCCUUUACUGGUGUCAGUGGUGAGACAAUGGAAAUCAAAACAUUUGGCAAACCAGAGAAGUACAAACUGCUCCACGUGUUGGAGUUUGAUGCAGAUCGCAGGAGAAUGAGUGUCAUUCUGCAGAACCCUUCUGGUGGCCAAGUGCUGUUUACUAAGGGAGCAGAGUCGUCCAUUUUUCCUUUCACCACAAGUGGUGAAAUAGAAAAGACAAGACUUCAUGUCGAUGAGUUUGCCUUGAGAGGGUUGCGGACCCUCGUGGUAGCAUGCCGUCAUUUCAGCCCAGAGGAGUAUAUGGAAGUGGACAGGCAUUUGAACAGUGCUCGCACUGCACUGCAGCAGAGGGAAGAGCGACUGCAAGAGGCCUUCAGCUACAUUGAGCGAGACCUGCAUCUCCUGGGAGCAACAGGGGUGGAAGACAAGCUACAAGACAAAGUUCAAGAGACAAUUGAGGCUCUGCGUCUGGCAGGAAUCAAAGUUUGGGUGCUGACAGGCGACAAACAUGAGACUGCGGUCAGCGUCAGUCUGUCUUGUGGUCACUUCCACAGAACCAUGAACACCCUGGAGCUCCUUCAGCAACGUUCUGACAAUGAGUGUGCCGAGCAACUCCGUAGGCUGGCGAGAAGGAUAAAAGAGGACCAUGUCAUACAGCAUGGAUUGGUUGUGGAUGGCGCCAGUUUAUCCUUAGCGUUGAGGGAACAUGAGAAGCUCUUUAUGGAAGUUUGUAAAAACUGUUCAGCUGUGCUUUGCUGCCGCAUGGCCCCACUGCAGAAAGCAAAGGUGGUGCGUCUUUUCAAAAGCUCUCCAGAGAAACCAAUCACCUUAGCUGUUGGGGAUGGAGCCAAUGAUGUCAGUAUGAUUCAGGAAGCCCAUGUUGGCAUAGGAAUUAUGGGAAAAGAAGGACGCCAGGCCGUGAGAAACAGUGACUAUGCAAUUGCCAGAUUCAGGUUUCUGGCGAAACUACUGUUGGUCCACGGUCACUUCUACUACAUUCGAAUAUCCACACUUGUACAAUACUUUUUCUAUAAGAAUGUGUGUUUUAUCACACCCCAGUUUUUAUACCAGUUCUUCUGUCUGUUUUCACAACAAACUCUGUAUGACAGUGUUUAUCUGACACUGUACAACAUCUGCUUUACCUCACUGCCCAUCCUGGUGUACAGUCUGUUUGAACAGCUCGUUCAUCCACAUGUCCUGCAGACUAAACCAGGCCUGUACAGAGACAUCAGCAGGAACUCUCUAUUGUCUUUCCGAACGUUCCUCUAUUGGACUGUAUUGGGCUUCUGUCAUGCUUUCGUCUUCUUCUUUGGAUCCUACAUACUGAUGGGAGAAGACACCACACUUAUGGGCAAUGGACAGAUCUUGCGAGCUAACAGGCAGCUGAUGUUUGGAAACUGGACCUUUGGAACACUGGUCUUCACAGUUAUGGUCAUAACUGUCACUUUAAAACUUGCAUUAGAGACUCAUUUCUGGACAUGGAUGAACCAUUUUGUGACGUGGGGGUCAAUAGCCUUCUAUUUCAUCUUCUCUCUCUUCUACGGAGGCAUUAUCUGGCCAUUCCUCCACACCCAGGAUAUGUAUUUUGUUUUUGUUCAAUUACUGUCCAGUGGCUCUGCAUGGUUUGCCAUCAUCAUCAUCAUCACCACUUGCCUCUUUCCUGACGUGGUGAAGAAGGUCUUCUACCGACAUCUGCGACCCACCAGCACACAGAAGAGUCAGAUGUAUUCCAACCAUGUGGCAAUAGGUGAUGACUUCAUCGCUCUUCAACCUCUGUCCAGAGCCAAGAAUCAGCUGGGCAAAAUUAGCCUUUAUCAGCCCCCCAGGCCCAGACCCUCAGCUGUGUGGAGUCCUUGUGCUGCUACCAACAUGGGCAGAGCGGCUGUUCCCGCCUGGGCCACUUCCUGGAGCAAAUGACCGGGCCGUGCUCUACCACUGGCAACCAUUGCCACACAUCCAGCCGCGACAACAGGUCCUGGAGUGACCCCGACAACUUCUACUCCAACGAUCGCAGCAUUCUCACGCUGUCUCCCAUUGACGCCGCCCACUGCUGACGCCUCCACUCCACCCCUCCACUCCAUCCCUCCAUCCUUCAUACCAUCUUGUAAGCUCGCUGGCUUCAAAACCACACACAAAUAGACUCAGCCGGAGCCAAAGGAGGUCGACGUUGAAGCUGGAAGAGAACCUUCUAGAAGCGAGCGUCAGGAGGUGAUUUUAUUGCUUCCAAAAAAAACAUGUCUGCUGCUCCAAAAUGCACUUUUUGAUGUCUGCCUCCCACUCGUAGCAUCCUGCAGUUCUGUCAACGUCCACCAGGUCUGAUACCAAAGAGGAUGUCUUUUUUUGUGCCUGCUCGCACACACGGCGUUCAUGCUGCUUCGCUCCUGCUGACUGUUCUGAACUCCGUUUUCCCGGGGCGCCCCGAGUGUGUUGAUAAAGCCAUAGUUUUUUUUUUUUGGGGGGGGGGGUUAGGAAGUUCCCUUAUUAUGGAAGGUACGGUAAAUAGCUGCAGGGUGUCGGUUUCCCCCUUUAUUGCCUUCCUCAGUCGCGUUAAAAGGACGCGUGCGGACUCUGAAUGUUUCAUCAGCUCGUAUUUUUCUUUUGCUUUGUCAAAGUGUUUGCGUCCUCGCAGUGAGGUUUCGAUGGCGAUGUCACCUGUUGUCAUGGUGACUUGACGGCUGACACGGAACCGUGCGAGGCGAGCGUUUUUUAAGCCUCGACGUCAACGAAGCGGGGCCUCGACGGGAUGCUCCCGUCGCUACGGUUACGCCUUAACGUCCCCGCUACUUGUCGCACGAAGUCUUCCCGUCUGUCGUGUCCUUUUUGGAAUAUUUGUUGAUUGUGUGCUUUUGUUGAUGAACAAUAAUUCAUUAGGUCUACUUUGUGUGCACCUUCAGCCGCGCUGACCAAUAUGAAAAGUGAUAUAAUCCAUGUAAACACACACGUUUAUUGACGGCGUACGAAAAUAAUAAUAAGACGACACACGGGUGUUGUUGACACGAGCGUUAACUAAUGUUAAACCGUUUGACCGCGAUGCUGCAUCAUGUAGGAGACAUUUUUUUGCACAUAGAACUCAACUUUUUAAUAUCUUUUCAACGGUUCCAUGUCUAUUUAUUUGUAAAUUGCUGCAGUUAUUUCACAACCUGGAAGUGGUUUUUGUUUUGUCGUGAUCAGCAAGAUCCUAUUAAGUAUUUUUAGGAGCUAAUUAGAUGACAUGAAUAUUUCACCACAUAUGAUAAUCAUGUCCGCUAUUUGAAGUUGUCAUCCACCCAGUGGUACUUUGGCCACAUGUCUGGUGAAACAUGCACAAAUAUUUACUUGAACAGCUUUUCUAUUUGUAUUAAAGCUCAUUCCUGUUAUGCUUUAAAUGUAGCUUGUUUUUUCCCCCGGCGACAGACUAGCAGCAGAGGCGUUGGUGGUGUCAGUGAUCCACAACCACUCACUUUAUUGCUGUGCAGCAUUUGCAAUUCAAUUAAAGCGGUAGGAAAUCGAAUGAUGGCUAAAUGUCCCGAGUGGAAAUGUCAACUCAUGUGUGUUGUGCACGUGAACACAGCUGAUGUGACUCGGCGUCUCUGCGACAUAACACGAGCGUCGCGUGGUGUCGGUUUACUAGGAAAUCAUUUGACUCUUCCUCCUGUCAUCAUCGCUCCUCAGCUGUGUCUUCCAUCCUCUUGUCUGUAAAAACUCAGCUACUGUUUAUGAAAUGUUCUAUUUAUGAAAUAAAUACAUUUAUAAGAAGCAGGUGCCGUGUCAAUUGUCACUUCCUGGGAGAACUGAAGGUCUCACCUCCCAACAAGAUGUGGAAGUAAGAGCACAACACGAUUAUCCACAUGUGACAAUUGUUUAUUAACAAGUAACUUUUAAAAAAUUUGACACUACAAAGUGAUUCUUGUGACCUUUGAGCUUCUGGGGUGUUUUCCCGCUUAUUGUCUUUCAGAAUCACAACAUUCCGAAGGCACCAGACUAAAGUAUUGACAAACAUUGCUGCUUUGACCCCCAAAAAGUAUUGUUCAUUUCCAGACUACAUGAUCAAAACAAGCUGUUAUAACAGAGAUAAUGCCAACAUCAGUAACUAUUUUAUUAUUGUACAAGCACUCUAUACAUCUUUUUUGUUGGAGUCAGAGACACCAAGUGUUGGAGUCUGAGACACCAAGUGUUGGAGUC